UGGGGAAUAUUGCACAAUGGAGGAAACUCUGAUGCAGCGACGCCGCGUGAGUGAAGAAGUAAUUCGUUAUGUAAAGCUCUAUCAGCAGGGAAGAUAAUGACGGUACCCAACAAGAAAGUGACGGCUAACUACGUGCCAGCAGCCGCGGUAAAACGUAGGUCACAAGCGUUGUCCGGAAUUACUGGGUGUAAAGGGAGCGCAGGCGGGAAGACAAGUUGGAAGUGAAAUCUAUGGGCUCAACCCAUAAACUGCUUUCAAAACUGUUUUUCUUGAGUAGUGCAGAGGUAGGCGGAAUUCCCGGUGUAGCGGUGGAAUGCGUAGAUAUCGGGAGGAACACCAGUGGCGAAGGCGGCCUACUGGGCACCAACUGACGCUGAGGCUCGAAAGUGUGGGUAGCAAACAGGAUUAGAUACCCUGGUAGUCCACACCGUAAACGAUGAUUACUAGGUGUUGGAGGAUUGACCCCUUCAGUGCCGCAGUUAACACAAUAAGUAAUCCACCUGGGGAGUACGACCGCAAGGUUGAAACUCAAAGGAAUUGACGGGGGCCCGCACAAGCAGUGGAGUAUGUGGUUUAAUUCGACGCAACGCGAAGAACCUUACCAAGUCUUGACAUCCCUUGACAGACAUAGAAAUAUGUAAUCUCUUCGGAGCAAGGAGACAGGUGGUGCAUGGUUGUCGUCAGCUCGUGUCGUGAGAUGUUGGGUUAAGUCCCGCAACGAGCGCAACCCUUAUGGUCAGUUACUACGCAAGAGGACUCUGGCCAGACUGCCGUUGACAAAACGGAGGAAGGUGGGGAUGACGUCAAAUCAUCAUGCCCUUUAUGACUUGGGCUACACACGUACUACAAUGGCGUUAAACAAAGAGAAGCAAGACCGCGAGGUGGAGCAAAACUCAGAAACAACGUCCCAGUUCGGACUGCAGGCUGCAACUCGCCUGCACGAAGUCGGAAUUGCUAGUAAUCGUGGAUCAGCAUGCCACGGUGAAUACGUUCCC
rnacentral:rRNA from 1 species